CGUGCUAAUCUGCGAUAAGCGCCGGUAAGGUGAUAUGAACCGUUAUAACCGGCGAUACCCGAAUGGGGAAACCCAGUGUGAUUCGUCACACUAUCAUUAACUGAAUCCAUAGGUUAAUGAGGCGAACCGGGGGAACUGAAACAUCUAAGUACCCCGAGGAAAAGAAAUCAACCGAGAUUCCCCCAGUAGCGGCGAGCGAACGGGGAGGAGCCCAGAGCCUGAAUCAGCAUGUGUGUUAGUGGAAGCGUCUGGAAAGGCGCGCGAUACAGGGUGACAGCCCCGUACACAAAAGCGCAUGUGCUGUGAGCUCGAUGAGUAGGGCGGGACACGUGGUAUCCUGUCUGAAUAUGGGGGGACCAUCCUCCAAGGCUAAAUACUCCUGACUGACCGAUAGUGAACCAGUACCGUGAGGGAAAGGCGAAAAGAACCCCGGCGAGGGGAGUGAAAAAGAACCUGAAACCGUGUACGUACAAGCAGUGGGAGCCCCACCACUAAGCCAGUGGUGAACUCCACAUACGCAUCCUUUGCUGAGGAUACGGUUAACGGAGCGAAAGCGACGUUCAACCGCAAAAGAAGCAGAGGGGGCUUAGUGGUGGGGUGACUGCGUACCUUUUGUAUAAUGGGUCAGCGACUUAUAUUCUGUAGCAAGGUUAACCGAAUAGGGGAGCCGGAGGGAAACCGAGUCUUAAUUGGGCGUUAAGUUGCAGGGUAUAGACCCGAAACCCGGUGAUCUAGCCAUGGGCAGGUUGAAGGUUGGGUAACACUAACUGGAGGACCGAACCGACUAAUGUUGAAAAAUUAGCGGAUGACCUGUGGCUGGGGGUGAAAGGCCAAUCAAACCGGGAGAUAGCUGGUUCUCCCCGAAAGCUAUUUAGGUAGCGCCUCGUGAACUCAUCUCCGGGGGUAGAGCACUGUUUCGGCUAGGGGGCCAUCCCGGCUUACCAACCCGAUGCAAACUGCGAAUACCGGAGAAUGUUAUCACGGGAGACACACGGCGGGUGCUAACGUCCGUCGUGAAGAGGGAAACAACCCAGACCGCCAGCUAAGGUCCCAAAGUCAUGGUUAAGUGGGAAACGAUGUGGGAAGGCCCAGACAGCCAGGAUGUUGGCUUAGAAGCAGCCAUCAUUUAAAGAAAGCGUAAUAGCUCACUGGUCGAGUCGGCCUGCGCGGAAGAUGUAACGGGGCUAAACCAUGCACCGAAGCUGCGGCAGCGAACGUAUCACUUAAAGCGAUUCAGCGGGUUACGAUUGACGGAGCGAAGCGACGUCAAAGCGUAUACAAAGUCGAGUCG
rnacentral:rRNA from 1 species